rnacentral:piRNA from 1 species
UAUAUGUAUUACCUGUUGGGCAUGUA